ACUGUCGGUCGGCGGCUAAGGAGGGGAGGCACCUGCAUCUGGGGCGCGGCGAAUCCUCGCGUGCGCCAGGCCGCCUGGGGUAGUCGCCGAGACUGCGCCGGCCAGCGGGGCCGAAACCUAAUCAGGAGCUGAGCUUUGAUGGCGGCUUCUGGAGGGACAAAGAAGGCGCAGAGCGGUGGGAGGAGGCUGCGAGAACCUAGCUCCCGCCCCAGCCGACGUGCGAGACAAAGGCCCCGGCGCGGGGCUCUUCGGAAGGCCGGGAGGUUCCUGUGACAAUGCGAGUCUGCGCCCCACGCUCCCGCACCGUGAUGCCGAGGCCAAAUGGCUAGAGUGGGCCCAGGCAUCAGCAUUUCUGUUUGGCAGCCGGGCAGUUGUGGUGCACGUUUUGAGGAACUACUAAAGCCUGCCUGUGAUGAAAAAGGCAAAAGCUGACUUCACCAAAAUUACUCCCAGGGAGACUUCUGCAUUUGGCUGGAAGGACAUUUGAGUAAACCGCUGAGGCUGGUGGUUGAAACAUAAUCCUCUAAGGGAGAUCGGUUCCGAUACCCUGAGUUAGGGACGCUUGCCUGGGCAGAGCUAAGGGGAGAAUGAUCAAAAGCCAAGCUCUGUCCCCGUCAGCACGUCACCCUCCCUCACUGUAAUCCCUGACUGUUUUCUCUAAAUGAAGAAUUAUUUAGAGAAUAUAAAUUAGAAGGGCCGCCACGUCA
rnacentral:lncRNA from 1 species